CAGCGUUUUCAAAGGAACCGGGGAAGGCCGUCUCGUUUACACCGAGAGGGUCGGGGGUUCGAUCCCCUCACCGCCCACCA
rnacentral:tRNA from 1 species